UGGUGGGUAGUUUGACUGGGGCGGUCUCCUCCCAAAGAGUAACGGAGGAGCACGAAGGUUAGCUAAUCCUGGUCGGACAUCAGGAGGUUAGUGCAAUGGCAUAAGCUAGCUUGACUGCGAGAGUGACGGCUCGAGCAGGUGCGAAAGCAGGUCAUAGUGAUCCGGUGGUUCUGAAUGGAAGGGCCAUCGCUCAACGGAUAAAAGGUACUCCGGGGAUAACAGGCUGAUACCGCCCAAGAGUUCAUAUCGACGGCGGUGUUUGGCACCUCGAUGUCGGCUCAUCACAUCCUGGGGCUGAAGUAGGUCCCAAGGGUAUGGCUGUUCGCCAUUUAAAGUGGUACGCGAGCUGGGUUUAGAACGUCGUGAGACAGUUCGGUCCCUAUCUGCCGUGGGCGCUGGAGAAUUGAGGGGGGCUGCUCCUAGUACGAGAGGACCGGAGUGGACGCAUCACUGGUGUUCGGGUUGUCAUGCCAAUGGCACUGCCCGGUAGCUAAAUGCGGAAGAGAUAAGUGCUGAAAGCAUCUAAGCACGAAACUUGCCCCG
rnacentral:rRNA from 2 species